AGAGUUUGAUCCUGGCUCAGGACGAACGCUGGCGGCGCGCCUAACACAUGCAAGUCGAACGAGCGAGAGAGAGCUUGCUUUCUCGAGCGAGUGGCGAACGGGUGAGUAACGCGUGAGGAACCUGCCUCAAAGAGGGGGACAACAGUUGGAAACGACUGCUAAUACCGCAUAAGCCCACGGCUCGGCAUCGAGCAGAGGGAAAAGGAGCAAUCCGCUUUGAGAUGGCCUCGCGUCCGAUUAGCUAGUUGGUGAGGUAACGGCCCACCAAGGCGACGAUCGGUAGCCGGACUGAGAGGUUGAACGGCCACAUUGGGACUGAGACACGGCCCAGACUCCUACGGGAGGCAGCAGUGGGGAAUAUUGCACAAUGGGGGAAACCCUGAUGCAGCGACGCCGCGUGGAGGAAGAAGGUCUUCGGAUUGUAAACUCCUGUUGUUGAGGAAGAUAAUGACGGUACUCAACAAGGAAGUGACGGCUAACUACGUGCCAGCAGCCGCGGUAAAACGUAGGUCACAAGCGUUGUCCGGAAUUACUGGGUGUAAAGGGAGCGCAGGCGGGAAGACAAGUUGGAAGUGAAAUCCAUGGGCUCAACCCAUGAACUGCUUUCAAAACUGUUUUUCUUGAGUAGUGCAGAGGUAGGCGGAAUUCCCGGUGUAGCGGUGGAAUGCGUAGAUAUCGGGAGGAACACCAGUGGCGAAGGCGGCCUACUGGGCACCAACUGACGCUGAGGCUCGAAAGUGUGGGUAGCAAACAGGAUUAGAUACCCUGGUAGUCCACACUGUAAACGAUGAUUACUAGGUGUUGGAGGAUUGACCCCUUCAGUGCCGCAGUUAACACAAUAAGUAAUCCACCUGGGGAGUACGACCGCAAGGUUGAAACUCAAAGGAAUUGACGGGGGCCCGCACAAGCAGUGGAGUAUGUGGUUUAAUUCGACGCAACGCGAAGAACCUUACCAAGUCUUGACAUCCUGCGACGGUUCUGGAAACAGAACUUUCCUUCGGGACGCAGAGACAGGUGGUGCAUGGUUGUCGUCAGCUCGUGUCGUGAGAUGUUGGGUUAAGUCCCGCAACGAGCGCAACCCUUAUGGUCAGUUACUACGUAAGAGGACUCUGGCCAGACUGCCGUUGACAAAACGGAGGAAGGUGGGGAUGACGUCAAAUCAUCAUGCCCUUUAUGACUUGGGCUACACACGUACUACAAUGGCGUUAAACAAAGAGAAGCAAGACCGCGAGGUGGAGCAAAACUCAGAAACAACGUCCCAGUUCGGACUGCAGGCUGCAACUCGCCUGCACGAAGUCGGAAUUGCUAGUAAUCGCAGAUCAGCAUGCUGCGGUGAAUACGUUCCCGGGCCUUGUACUCACCGCCCGUCA
rnacentral:rRNA from 1 species